AUGGAUAAUCAAAGAAAUACAACAAACCUUUGUUUAGCCUUGAUAACUGGGAGCUGGAAAAGCAUGGACAAUUAAAUUUUACAGUUAAUUAGCAAGACUCAUUUUAAGCCAAGAAAAAUCUUCUAGGAACCUUAUGGAUGUGGCACCUCAAGGAAUAUACAUAUCCCCAUUUAAAAUCUUUUCUCCUAGGGCCCCCGUGGGUACCGUUUCAGCACCAAGGAAAGGCCUACGCACGAUUAUUGCCUAAAGGUGAAGAACUGCUUCCGGUUUGAACUCUGUCAUUACACAAAGUAAUGGAUCCUAUUGGACUUACCGUCUCAAAGGAUGAGAAGAGGGGCACUCUACCCCUUUGCUGGCAUCUCUGGAAAUACCAGCACACAACCUGAACUCUCACUCAGUUUCUCAUCGUGCCCUCACCGCGGCCACUCACCGGUUGGACACACAGGACCCAUCACGAGGUCCUGUUAUCAUCCCUGCUUUGCAGCUGCGGACAGACUGAACCCCACGCCCAGGCUGCACAGUGAGAAAGUGCUGGGAUGUGACCUGCACCAAAGCAUCCUGUCUCCGGAGUGUGGGCCCUGCACAGACGCCCCAUGGCUGAGCACAUCUAGAAAUGCAGGAGGGUUGCCGUUCUCCUGCUCCUUCAGAAGUCCUGGGGACAGUCAUUUACAUUUUUAGCUAAUUUAAUCUAUAAAGAGUUACCUUGUCUUAAUUUGCAUUUUGUUGAUUAAUGAUGAAUAUUUAUUUCCGUAUGUUAUCCCUAGCUAUUUGUCCUCAAAAGAGACUGUCUUUUUAUGGUCUUUGACUGUUUAUCUGUUGAGGUCUUUGGGUACUUUUCCGAUCUUAUGAGCUCUUUAUGAAAUAAAAUAUUCUUAGUUCUAUGCAUUUCAGUUUUAAUUAUAUUUUAGACACACAAGUUUAUGUAUUUUUUCUUUGUAAUUUAAUUCACUUAGAAAAGGUUUUUUUUUUAUUAUUAAAGAAAGAUGUGGUCAUUAAAAUAUGUUUAUUAAACACAUAGAAGGAAAGGAAAUAAAAUAAAGCUCCUUCAGAAUCAUGCCAAUCAGAGGUAGCCAUUGUUCCCAAUGUGAGCUACCUUUUGAAGGCUUUAUUGGAAUGUUUGUAAAUGAUGUUUUACCGUAUAUACCAUUUGGAAACUUUUACAU